CGGCGGCGCGCGGCGGGCGCGGGGCCGGAAGUGACGGCCGGGAGCGGCGGCGGCCAUGUCGGCGGGCGGCGGAGCGCAGCGGGACGCGGCGGCCGCGGGCGGGCGCCGCAGCAAGUGGGAUCAGCCCGGCCCGGCGCCCAGCUUCCUGCUGGCCGGCACGGCGCCGCUGCCCGGGCGGCCGUUCCCCGGCGGGGGCGGCGAUGGCGGCGCCGCCGUGGCCGGCUCCGAGAGCUCGGCGGCGCCCUCGGGAGCGCUGGAUGCGGCCGCGGCCGUGGCGGCGAAGAUCAACGCGAUGCUGAUGGCCAAAGGGAAGCUGAAGCCGGCGCCCAGCACGGCGGACAAGCUGCAGGCUCUGGGGAAAGGCCCAGCCACGAGUAAGAGCAAAGAUGACCUGGUGGUGGCCGAGGUGGAGAUCAAUGAUGUCCCCCUGACGUGCAGGAACCUGCUGACCAGGGGCCAGACCCAGGACGAGAUCAGUCGUCUGAGUGGAGCAGCUGUCUCCACUCGUGGGAGGUUCAUGACUGCAGAAGAGAAAGCCAAAGUGGGACCUGGAGAUCGUCCUUUGUAUCUUCAUGUUCAGGGUCAGACACGGGAGUUGGUUGACAGAGCUGUGAACAGGAUCAAGGAGAUCAUCACCAACGGGGUGGUGAAGGCAGCCACGGGCUCCAGCCCCACCUUCAACGGGGCCACGGUCACUGUGUACCACCAGCCAGCCCCCCUCACCCAGAUAACCCCAGCUGUUGGCCAGAAACCUCCCUUCCAGUCAGGGAUGCAUUAUGUCCAGGACAAGCUGUUUGUGGGGCUGGAGCAUGCUGUUCCCACCUUUAAUGUGAAGGAGAAGGUGGAAGGGCCUGGCUGCUCCUACUUGCAGCACAUCCAGAUUGAAACUGGUGCCAAAGUCUUUCUCCGUGGGAAAGGCUCAGGUUGCAUCGAGCCAGCAUCAGGCAGGGAAGCCUUUGAGCCCAUGUACAUCUACAUCAGUCACCCAAAGCCAGAAGGUUUGGCAGCUGCUAAAAAGCUGUGUGAGAACCUCUUGCAAACAGUUCACGCCGAGUACUCCCGAUUUGUGAACCAGAUAACCACUGCAGUUCCCUUGGCAGGCUUCACCCAGCCAGCCACGAUCAGCAGCGUCCCUUCCCAGCCCUCCUACUACCCCUCCAACGGGUACCAGGCUGGCUACCCCGUGGUUGCCCCUCCUCAGCAGCCUGUGCAGCCCCCCUUUGGGGUGCCAGGGAUGGUGCCCCCUGCAGUGCCCCUGGCUCCUGGGGUGCUGCCAGCGCUGCCCACGGCCGUGCCCCCCGUGCCCACGCAGUACCCCAUAGCUCAGGUGCAGCCUGCAGCCAGCACCACGGGCCAGACUCCUCUGAGUGCUCCCUUCCUUCCUGCUGCCCCAGUAAAAACCAGCAUGCCAACUGGUGCCCAGCCCCCGGUGCAGCCCCCGCCCCAGGGCCAGAAGAGACGCUUCACGGAGGAGCUGCCUGACGAGAGGGAGUCAGGGCUGCUGGGAUACCAGCAUGGACCCAUUCAUAUGACUAAUUUAGGUACAGGCUUCUCCAGUCAGAGUGAAAUCCAGGGAGCCGCGGCGAAGGCAGCGAGUUCCUCAGGAAAGGAGAGAGAGAGGGACAGGCAGUUGAUGCCUCCACCAGCUUUUCCUGUCACUGGAAUGAAAUCAGAAUCCGAAGAAAGAAAAGGUGCGGGGUCUUUGCCAGGCAACCAUGGUGAGUGCAGUGGGUCAGACACCCCUCCAAGCCCAGUUUCCUGUCCCAAAGACCCCCCCAAGCCCAGUUUCCUGUCCCAAACACCCUUCCAAGCCCAGUUUCCUCUCCCAAGUGGUGCUGGUUUUAACAGUGUCAAAGCUGGUGGGGUUUUUUUGGCUGUUCUGUGUUGAAGUGCAAAGCAGGUGAUGUUGCACUGCUCCAAAUCACUGGUGCUUGCUUGUGGUUAUACACACAGGGUGCUUCUCAAAGCUUUAAUGAAUAUUUGUAUGAAAUGGGGGGGUUUAAUUAAGUGAGGGACUCAAGACAGGGAGUUUGACCCAUCAGAACAUGGUGGGGUUGUUUUGUGCCUCUGCAUUGUUACACACACAAGUGACUUCUCAAAGCCUUAAUAAAUAUGUGUGUUAAAUAAGGGGAGUUAAUCAAGUGAGGAACUCAAAACAGGGAGUUUGACCCAUCAGAAUGUGCUGGGGUUGUUUUGUGGCUCUCCAUUGUUAAACACACAGGUUGCUUCUCAAAGCCUUAAUAAAUAUUUGUUUGAAGUAAUGGGAGUUUAAUUAACUCAAAACAGGGAGUUUGACCCAUCAGGCAGCACAGAAUGUGCUGGGGUUGUUUUGUGGCUCUGCAUUGUUACCCACACAAGUGGCUUCUCAAAGCUUUAAUAAAUAUCUGUAUGAAAUGAGGAUAAUUUGAUUCAAUGAGAGACUAAAAACAGGGAGAUUUGACCUAUCAGAAUGUGGUGGGGUUGUUUUGUGCCUCUGCAUUGUUACACGCACAGGUUGCUUCUCAAAGCCUUAAUAAAUAUUUGUAUGAAAUAAGGGGAGUUUAAUUAUUAUAACUGUAACUGAGGGACUGAAGACAGGCAGAUUUGACCCAUCAGAAUGUGGUGGAGUUGUUUUGUGCCUCUGCAUUGUUACACACACAAGUGACUUCUCAAAGCUUUAAUAAAUAUCUGUGUGAAAUAAGAGGAGUUAAUCAAGUGAGGAACUCAAGACAGGGAGUUUGACCCAUCAGAAUGUGCUGGGGUUGUUUUGUGCCUCUGCAUUGUUACACAGGUGACUUCUCAAAGCUUUAAUAACUACCUGUGUGAAAUAAGGGGAGUUUAAUUAAGUGAGGGACUCAAGACAGGGAGUUCUGACCCAUCAGGCAGCACAGAACAUGGUGGGGUUGUUUUGUGGCUCUGCAUUGUUACACGCACAGGUUGCUUCUCAAAGCCUUAAUAAAUAUUUGUAUGAAAUAAGGGGAGUUUAAUUAUUAUUAUUAUUAUAAUUAUAACUGAGGGACUGAAGACAGGGAGUUCUGACCCAUCAGAAUGUGGUGGGGUUGUUUUGUGGCUCUGCAUUGUUAAACACACAGGUUGCUUCUCAAAACUUUAAUAAAUAUCUGUAUGAAAUAAGGGGAGUUUGAUUAAGUGAGGGACUCAAGACAGGAAGAUUUGAUCCAUCAGAAUGUGGUGGGGUUUUUUGUGGCUCUGCAUUGUUAAACACACAGGUGGCUUCUCAAAGCUUUAAUAAAUAUUUGUAUGAAAUAAGGGGAGUUUAAUUAACUAAAACCAGGGAGUUUGACCCAUCAGGCAGCACAGAACGUGCUGGGGUUGUUUUGUGGCUCUGCAUUGUGAGCAGAGGCCCUGAGGAAUGUGGGGGAGUUCUGCUCAGGUGGGGAUUUACACACAUUUCUGCCUGCAGACAGCACCAGUGCUGCCAGGAUUCCAUCUUUCCUGUCACUCAGCAGGGGUUUGAGCUUGUCAGGCUUGAGCUGUGCAGGCAGCUGAGUGCUUCAGCUCUGCAGGGACAUCACCCAGCCUGGUGAACCUUAGUUCUUCUGCAUCUUGCUCCCAGACAUUGCUCUCCUGUUAGCUUCCUUUUGAACAAAAUUUCUACUUUUCUUUACGUGUUGAUCUCUUGAAUUGCCCUCCCUGAGAGCCAUUUGCUAACUUUACCUUUUCUGUGUGUUUCUUUCUUGUUUCUGUGUUCUCUUACAUGGUUCUGGUGGAUCACAUGGCUGUUGCUGCUGCUGUUUCCUGUGGCCUUCGACCUUGGAUGACCAUUGGCCUUGUGACCUCAAAAUGGUGUCCAACUAACAAUUUACAAUUAACAUCUUUUUUUAUUAUUAUUAACUCGUUUUUGGGGCGUUUUAUCUCUUUUUAUUUGUUUUGUUUUUAUUUUUUCCUUCUUGGUGGGGGGCCGGGGGGGCUUGUUUUGUUUUCCCCUCCUAGAUCAUCAAGCCAAGAAGAUGAAAACUGCAGAGAAGGGCUUUGGAUUAGUGGCCUAUGCUGGAGAUUCUUCAGAUGAAGAGGAGGAGCACGGUGGCCAUAAAAACGCAAGUACUUUUUCACAGGGCUGGAGUUUGGGGUACCAGU